GGCAGUUCUUGGGUGAUGCACCCUGGAAUCAGGCUCCCUCCUCUCUGGUUCCAGGGUGCGUCACCCAAGAACCACC
rfam:Myotis davidii contig191245, whole genome shotgun sequence.